GUUUCGGUAGCUCAGUUGGCAGAGCGAUGGGCUGGUAUCCCAGAGACCCGAGUUCGAGCCUCGGCUGAAACC